rnacentral:tRNA from 1 species
GCUCAGUUGGUGGAAUGUGAGACUCUUGAUCUUGGGAUUGUGAGUUCAACCCCCACAUUGAGCA